UUAAGCGACUAAGCGUACACGGUGGAUGCCCUGGCAGUCAGAGGCGAUGAAGGACGUGCUAAUCUGCGAUAAGCGUCGGUAAGGUGAUAUGAACCGUUAUAACCGGCGAUUUCCGAAUGGGGAAACCCAGUGUGUUUCGACACACUAUCAUUAACUGAAUCCAUAGGUUAAUGAGGCGAACCGGGGGAACUGAAACAUCUAAGUACCCCGAGGAAAAGAAAUCAACCGAGAUUCCCCCAGUAGCGGCGAGCGAACGGGGAGCAGCCCAGAGCCUGAAUCAGUGUGUGUGUUAGUGGAAGCGUCUGGAAAGGCGCGCGAUACAGGGUGACAGCCCCGUACACAAAAAUGCACAUAUUGUGAGCUCGAUGAGUAGGGCGGGACACGUGGUAUCCUGUCUGAAUAUGGGGGGACCAUCCUCCAAGGCUAAAUACUCCUGACUGACCGAUAGUGAACCAGUACCGUGAGGGAAAGGCGAAAAGAACCCCGGCGAGGGGAGUGAAAAAGAACCUGAAACCGUGUACGUACAAGCAGUGGGAGCACGCUUAGGCGUGUGACUGCGUACCUUUUGUAUAAUGGGUCAGCGACUUAUAUUCUGUAGCAAGGUUAACCGAAUAGGGGAGCCGAAGGGAAACCGAGUCUUAACUGGGCGUUAAGUUGCAGGGUAUAGACCCGAAACCCGGUGAUCUAGCCAUGGGCAGGUUGAAGGUUGGGUAACACUAACUGGAGGACCGAACCGACUAAUGUUGAAAAAUUAGCGGAUGACUUGUGGCUGGGGGUGAAAGGCCAAUCAAACCGGGAGAUAGCUGGUUCUCCCCGAAAGCUAUUUAGGUAGCGCCUCGUGAACUCAUCUCCGGGGGUAGAGCACUGUUUCGGCAAGGGGGUCAUCCCGACUUACCAACCCGAUGCAAACUGCGAAUACCGGAGAAUGUUAUCACGGGAGACACACGGCGGGUGCUAACGUCCGUCGUGAAGAGGGAAACAACCCAGACCGCCAGCUAAGGUCCCAAAGUCAUGGUUAAGUGGGAAACGAUGUGGGAAGGCCCAGACAGCCAGGAUGUUGGCUUAGAAGCAGCCAUCAUUUAAAGAAAGCGUAAUAGCUCACUGGUCGAGUCGGCCUGCGCGGAAGAUGUAACGGGGCUAAACCAUGCACCGAAGCUGCGGCAGCGACACUAUGUGUUGUUGGGUAGGGGAGCGUUCUGUAAGCCUGUGAAGGUGUGCUGUGAGGCAUGCUGGAGGUAUCAGAAGUGCGAAUGCUGACAUAAGUAACGAUAAAGCGGGUGAAAAGCCCGCUCGCCGGAAGACCAAGGGUUCCUGUCCAACGUUAAUCGGGGCAGGGUGAGUCGACCCCUAAGGCGAGGCCGAAAGGCGUAGUCGAUGGGAAACAGGUUAAUAUUCCUGUACUUGGUGUUACUGCGAAGGGGGGACGGAGAAGGCUAUGUUGGCCGGGCGACGGUUGUCCCGGUUUAAGCGUGUAGGCUGGUUUUCCAGGCAAAUCCGGAAAAUCAAGGCUGAGGCGUGAUGACGAGGCACUACGGUGCUGAAGCAACAAAUGCCCUGCUUCCAGGAAAAGCCUCUAAGCAUCAGGUAACAUCAAAUCGUACCCCAAACCGACACAGGUGGUCAGGUAGAGAAUACCAAGGCGCUUGAGAGAACUCGGGUGAAGGAACUAGGCAAAAUGGUGCCGUAACUUCGGGAGAAGGCACGCUGAUAUGUAGGUGAAGCGACUUGCUCGUGGAGCUGAAAUCAGUCGAAGAUACCAGCUGGCUGCAACUGUUUAUUAAAAACACAGCACUGUGCAAACACGAAAGUGGACGUAUACGGUGUGACGCCUGCCCGGUGCCGGAAGGUUAAUUGAUGGGGUUAGCGGUAACGCGAAGCUCUUGAUCGAAGCCCCGGUAAACGGCGGCCGUAACUAUAACGGUCCUAAGGUAGCGAAAUUCCUUGUCGGGUAAGUUCCGACCUGCACGAAUGGCGUAAUGAUGGCCAGGCUGUCUCCACCCGAGACUCAGUGAAAUUGAACUCGCUGUGAAGAUGCAGUGUACCCGCGGCAAGACGGAAAGACCCCGUGAACCUUUACUAUAGCUUGACACUGAACAUUGAGCCUUGAUGUGUAGGAUAGGUGGGAGGCUUUGAAGUGUGGACGCCAGUCUGCAUGGAGCCGACCUUGAAAUACCACCCUUUAAUGUUUGAUGUUCUAACGUUGACCCGUAAUCCGGGUUGCGGACAGUGUCUGGUGGGUAGUUUGACUGGGGCGGUCUCCUCCUAAAGAGUAACGGAGGAGCACGAAGGUUGGCUAAUCCUGGUCGGACAUCAGGAGGUUAGUGCAAUGGCAUAAGCCAGCUUGACUGCGAGCGUGACGGCGCGAGCAGGUGCGAAAGCAGGUCAUAGUGAUCCGGUGGUUCUGAAUGGAAGGGCCAUCGCUCAACGGAUAAAAGGUACUCCGGGGAUAACAGGCUGAUACCGCCCAAGAGUUCAUAUCGACGGCGGUGUUUGGCACCUCGAUGUCGGCUCAUCACAUCCUGGGGCUGAAGUAGGUCCCAAGGGUAUGGCUGUUCGCCAUUUAAAGUGGUACGCGAGCUGGGUUUAGAACGUCGUGAGACAGUUCGGUCCCUAUCUGCCGUGGGCGCUGGAGAACUGAGGGGGGCUGCUCCUAGUACGAGAGGACCGGAGUGGACGCAUCACUGGUGUUCGGGUUGUCAUGCCAAUGGCACUGCCCGGUAGCUAAAUGCGGAAGAGAUAAGUGCUGAAAGCAUCUAAGCACGAAACUUGCCCCGAGAUGAGUUCUCCCUGACUCCUUGAGAGUCCUGAAGGAACGUUGAAGACGACGACGUUGAUAGGCCGGGUGUGUAAGCGCAGCGAUGCGUUGAGCUAACCGGUACUAAUGAACCGUGAGGCUUAACCUU
rnacentral:rRNA from 1 species